rnacentral:lncRNA from 1 species
AUGCUUUUACCAACAGAAUCUAAGCACAAGCUAAACACUGAAUUAUCCGAAGGAAACCUGUUUGCCAAAACUUCCAAUGUUGACACUGCUGCCAGUUUCAAAGAACUACUUGAUUCGCUCUGUGAAUUAACUAAUUUUAAUAUCUCAAGACACAAGGUGUUUAACGAUUGCAAAGGCUCUGUGAAUUAAUUAAUUUCAAUAUCUCAAGAAACAAGGUGUUCAGCGAUUGCAAAGAAUUCGCGUCCAGAUGAAACCAUGAUCUCCUCGCAUUCAAAGCUGGACCCCUUUUUUCAUGCUUUGAGUCAACUAACCCAG